rnacentral:snRNA from 1 species
ACUAUUGCGCCCCAGGCUCGUCUUAAGUGUAGUAUCUGUUCUUAUCGUAUUAACCUACGGUAUACACUCGAAUGAGUGUAAUAAAGGUUAUAUGAUUUUUGGAAACUAGGAAAGACUCGGGGCUUGCUCCGACUUUCCAAGGGUCGUCCUGGCGUUGCACUGCUGCUGGGCUCGGCCCAGUCCCC